AAGGAAUAUUGCUCAAUGGGAGAAAUCCUGAAGCAGCAACGCCGCGUGGAGGAUGAAGGGUCUAUGACUUGUAAACUCCUGUAAAGAAGGAAAAAAUUCCCAUUAGAUGGGAGAUGAUGGUACUUCUGGAGUAAGCCCCGGCUAACUACGUGCCAGCAGCCGCGGUAAUACGUAGGGGGCAAGCGUUGUCCGGAUUUACUGGGUGUAAAGGGCGCGCAGGCGGGAUAAAAAGUCAGUGGUGAAAUCCUACAGCUUAACUGUAGAACUGCCUUUGAUACUUUUAUUCUUGAGUUCGGGAGAGAGAGACAGAAUUCCAGGUGUAGUGGUGAAAUACGUAGAUAUCUGGAAGAACACCAGUUGCGAAGGCGGUCUCUUGGUCCGACACUGACGCUGAGGCGCGAAAGCGUGGGGAGCAAACA
rnacentral:rRNA from 1 species